UACGAGGGGGGCAAGCGUUGUUCGGAAUUAUUGGGCGUAAAGGGCGCGUAGGCGGUGCGGUAAGACUGUGGUGAAAUCUUCGGGCUCAACUCGAAGCCUGCCGCGGUGACUGCCGUGCUGGAGUGUGGGAGAGGUGAGUGGAAUUCCUGGUGUAGCGGUGAAAUGCGCAGAUAUCAGGAAGAACACCCGUGGCUAAGGCGGCUCUCUAGUACGGUACUGACGCUGAGACGCGAAAGCGUGGGGAGCGAACAGG
rnacentral:rRNA from 1 species